GCCUCGCUAAACGAUGCACACCUGUAACUCACGUGACCCUGAUUAUUAUUGAAACGAGAACGAGGGCGUCGUGCCUUUAUAAGACUGCGUUAAUGUUUCCGUGGAGUUAUCCCUUCCGGCGUUGUUGUUUAUUGAUUGUUAAACAUGGCUUCAUUUGCAAAGGUGUGUGUGUCCUCAUUGCGUGUGUCUGUAAUGCAUUCUGUUUUCCGAAGAGAGAUGUGAACUUUAAGGCCUCUGCAGUUGACCGCCAAAGUGAUGAUGUGGUUGUCACCACAACACCCGUUCCCCACAACCAGACCACAUCUGCCCAUACUGAAGCUGGUGGUGGUGCAAGUGAAGAUGCUGUGGCUACUACCCCAGCACCUAAUCCACACAACCAGACAACUUCUGCACAAACUGAAGUUACUGAUGGAGCCAGUGAAGAUGCUGUGGACCGCCAAAGUGAUGUGGUUGUCGCCACAACACCCGAUCCCCACAACCGGACCACAUCUGCCCAUACUGAAGCUGGUGGUGAGCCAGUGAAGAUGCUGUGGACCGCCAAAGUGAUGAUGUGGUUUCCACCACAACACCCAAUCCCCACAACCAGACCACAUCUGCCCCUACUGAAGCUGAUGGAGCAAGUGAAGAUGAUGAUGAUGCAGCAAGUGAAGAUGCUGUGGCUACCACCCCAACACCAAAUCCCCCAACUACAUCUGACCACACUGCAGCUACCGGUGAUGCAAGUGAGGGUGCUGUGGCUGCCCAAACUGGAACUACUGUAUCCCAUACGACUGAAGUCUGAUUCGACUGCUCCUCUGGUCACAAUGACCUGAGUCACUGUCUGGACUUUUUGCCUCUACAUGUUGACUGCAAUAAAGGACAGAUUUGUUUUUUGAAUCAAAUGUUGUCUUGCCUUUUUCAAAUUGAGGCCUUGUCCUGUUUUGGUGGUGGAGAUGACUAUGAAGCCUCUUUCCUAACGUAUUUCCGGUAGUGGUUUUACUAUAUGCUUCAUGCAACAAGGCCUUUAACGACUCUACAAUUUAAAAGCAUCUAGUUGUGUCAAUUAGUAAAAUGGUUGAACUGGUAGUGAUGCACUAUAAUGGUGAACUGCUUGUGGCAUUUCAAAAAUCU
ensembl:lncRNA